rnacentral:rRNA from 1 species
GAUUAAGUUAUUAAGGGCGCACGGUGGAUGCCUUGGCACUAGAAGCCGAUGAAGGACGUUACUAACGACGAUAUGCUUUGGGGAGCUGUAAGUAAGCUUUGAUCCAGAGAUUUCCGAAUGGGGAAACCCAGCAUGAGUUAUGUCAUGUUAUCGAUAUGUGAAUACAUAGCAUAUCAGAAGGCACACCCGGAGAACUGAAACAUCUUAGUACCCGGAGGAAGAGAAAGAAAAUUCGAUUCCCUUAGUAGCGGCGAGCGAAACGGGAAGAGCCCAAACCAACAAGCUUGCUUGUUGGGGUUGUAGGACACUCUAUACGGAGUUACAAAGGACGACAUUAGACGAAUCAUCUGGAAAGAUGAAUCAAAGAAGGUAAUAAUCCUGUAGUCGAAAAUGUUGUCUCUCUUGAGUGGAUCCUGAGUACGACGGAGCACGUGGAAUUCCGUCGGAAUCUGGGAGGACCAUCUCCUAAGGCUAAAUACUCUCUAGUGACCGAUAGUGAACCAGUACCGUGAGGGAAAGGUGAAAAGCACCCCGGAAGGGGAGUGAAAUAGAACCUGAAACCGUGUGCUUACAAGUAGUCAGAGCCCGUUAAUGGGUGAUGGCGUGCCUUUUGUAGAAUGAACCGGCGAGUUACGAUUUGAUGCAAGGUUAAGCAGUAAAUGUGGAGCCGUAGCGAAAGCGAGUCUGAAUAGGGCGUUUAGUAUUUGGUCGUAGACCCGAAACCAGGUGAUCUACCCUUGGUCAGGUUGAAGUUCAGGUAACACUGAAUGGAGGACCGAACCGACUUACGUUGAAAAGUGAGCGGAUGAACUGAGGGUAGCGGAGAAAUUCCAAUCGAACCUGGAGAUAGCUGGUUCUCUCCGAAAUAGCUUUAGGGCUAGCCUCAAGUGAUGAUUAUUGGAGGUAGAGCACUGUUUGGACGAGGGGCCCCUCUCGGGUUACCGAAUUCAGACAAACUCCGAAUGCCAAUUAAUUUAACUUGGGAGUCAGAACAUGGGUGAUAAGGUCCGUGUUCGAAAGGGAAACAGCCCAGACCACCAGCUAAGGUCCCAAAAUAUAUGUUAAGUGGAAAAGGAUGUGGCGUUGCCCAGACAACUAGGAUGUUGGCUUAGAAGCAGCCAUCAUUUAAAGAGUGCGUAAUAGCUCACUAGUCGAGUGACACUGCGCCGAAAAUGUACCGGGGCUAAACAUAUUACCGAAGCUGUGGAUUGUCCUUUGGACAAUGGUAGGAGAGCGUUCUAAGGGCGUUGAAGCAUGAUCGUAAGGACAUGUGGAGCGCUUAGAAGUGAGAAUGCCGGUGUGAGUAGCGAAAGACGGGUGAGAAUCCCGUCCACCGAUUGACUAAGGUUUCCAGAGGAAGGCUCGUCCGCUCUGGGUUAGUCGGGUCCUAAGCUGAGGCCGACAGGCGUAGGCGAUGGAUAACAGGUUGAUAUUCCUGUACCACCUAUAAUCGUUUUAAUCGAUGGGGGGACGCAGUAGGAUAGGCGAAGCGUGCGAUUGGAUUGCACGUCUAAGCAGUAAGGCUGAGUAUUAGGCAAAUCCGGUACUCGUUAAGGCUGAGCUGUGAUGGGGAGAAGACAUUGUGUCUUCGAGUCGUUGAUUUCACACUGCCGAGAAAAGCCUCUAGAUAGAAAAUAGGUGCCCGUACCGCAAACCGACACAGGUAGUCAAGAUGAGAAUUCUAAGGUGAGCGAGCGAACUCUCGUUAAGGAACUCGGCAAAAUGACCCCGUAACUUCGGGAGAAGGGGUGCUCUUUAGGGUUAACGCCCAGAAGAGCCGCAGUGAAUAGGCCCAAGCGACUGUUUAUCAAAAACACAGGUCUCUGCUAAACCGUAAGGUGAUGUAUAGGGGCUGACGCCUGCCCGGUGCUGGAAGGUUAAGAGGAGUGGUUAGCUUCUGCGAAGCUACGAAUCGAAGCCCCAGUAAACGGCGGCCGUAACUAUAACGGUCCUAAGGUAGCGAAAUUCCUUGUCGGGUAAGUUCCGACCCGCACGAAAGGCGUAACGAUUUGGGCACUGUCUCAACGAGAGACUCGGUGAAAUCAUAGUACCUGUGAAGAUGCAGGUUACCCGCGACAGGACGGAAAGACCCCGUGGAGCUUUACUGUAGCCUGAUAUUGAAAUUCGGCACAGCUUGUACAGGAUAGGUAGGAGCCUUUGAAACGUGAGCGCUAGCUUACGUGGAGGCGCUGGUGGGAUACUACCCUAGCUGUGUUGGCUUUCUAACCCGCACCACUUAUCGUGGUGGGAGACAGUGUCAGGCGGGCAGUUUGACUGGGGCGGUCGCCUCCUAAAAGGUAACGGAGGCGCUCAAAGGUUCCCUCAGAAUGGUUGGAAAUCAUUCAUAGAGUGUAAAGGCAUAAGGGAGCUUGACUGCGAGACCUACAAGUCGAGCAGGGUCGAAAGACGGACUUAGUGAUCCGGUGGUUCCGCAUGGAAGGGCCAUCGCUCAACGGAUAAAAGCUACCCCGGGGAUAACAGGCUUAUCUCCCCCAAGAGUUCACAUCGACGGGGAGGUUUGGCACCUCGAUGUCGGCUCAUCGCAUCCUGGGGCUGUAGUCGGUCCCAAGGGUUGGGCUGUUCGCCCAUUAAAGCGGUACGCGAGCUGGGUUCAGAACGUCGUGAGACAGUUCGGUCCCUAUCCGUCGUGGGCGUAGGAAAUUUGAGAGGAGCUGUCCUUAGUACGAGAGGACCGGGAUGGACAUACCUCUGGUGUACCAGUUGUCGUGCCAACGGCAUAGCUGGGUAGCUAUGUGUGGACGGGAUAAGUGCUGAAAGCAUCUAAGCAUGAAGCCCCCCUCAAGAUGAGAUUUCCCAACUUCGGUUAUAAGAUCCCUCAAAGAUGAUGAGGUUAAUAGGUUCGAGGUGGAAGCAUGGUGACAUGUGGAGCUGACGAAUACUAAUCGAUCGAAGACUUAAUCAA